UUACUCCUGUUACCAUAGGUCUGCAAUUUAAUUGGAUUUGUCCAGGAAAAUCAAGCUACAAGAAGAAGCUCCAUAAUAAAAUAAUCAGGCUUUUUUACCUUUUCCUAUUCCUCCUCUUUCUCUGCCCCCUUCCCCAAACUGCCAGGCUGUUAUCUCCCUUUAGAUCCCUGUGUGGGAUGUGACUAAGUUUCAAAAUAAGGGAGGGGGGAACUACCUUUAAAGGAAUGGGCUUGGUGGGGGAAAGAUGGAGGAAAUUGGGGGUGGAGAUGGGCAGAGGAACAAGGGAGAAGUGGAUGUAACUGUGGAAUGUAGCUAAUAUCACAGCUGCUGUCACCAAGGUGGUGGGGGUGGCUUUCCUCUCCUCCUCCUCCUCUUCUUCGCUUCCUUCUCCUCCCCCCUCCCCUCUAAGUCCCAGGCAGCAGCAGCGGUCCAACCACCACCAAAGAAGCUGCCGGCUGUAUAAGCAGCACUCUUUGUCUCCUGAUCCUGGACAAUCCCCACUCCCCCUCCCUCCUUCGGUGAUAUCCUGCAGAUGUGUGAACUCUGGCUAUGGUAGCAGGACCCAUGAAGUUACUGGGCAGAGUCCAUCAGUGAUGGGUUAGAGGAAUGGAUGAUGCCUUUCUUUCGGAGGAAAGCUAGUCUAUACAAAGGAAUGAGCAGGUGACUAGGAGGAAGCAGAUGAGUGGUGAGCACCAUCUACUGGAAGAGAGCUUAACUGCGGAGAGGAGUGAAGCCCAGCAAAAGCCAUGGGACUGGAAGUAGGGAUUGUGGACAACAGAAACACUUUCAAGAGGUCUGCCAUCUGCUGGAAACUGAGGUCACACUUCCCAGGAGAGAAUGGAAUGGAGGCUACAGUCAGUUGUCAGCAAAAAGAAUCUUGCGAGUCAAUGAUUUAUGAAUAUCAUUUCCCAAUUAGCCUUUUAUGUAUGAAAUAGAACCUCCCCAAAGAUGUUUCUUUCAUCUGUUAAGGCCUAACAGAGGGCUAUAGGUGUGCCACCAGAUAAUGUAUCCAAAGGAUCAAAAAUGGCAGCUACCAUUGUGUUAGUGGCAACCCUUUGCUCCAUUGUUAGCAUG
rnacentral:lncRNA from 1 species